GUGUGUGUGUGUGUGUGUGUGUGUGUGUGUGUGUGUGUGUGUGUGUGUGUGUGUGUGUUAUGCUGGUUUCUGUGAGCUCAGCUAUCAACCUGCAAAUCAAGACUGAAAAGGCCUGAAUGUAAACCACUGGGCUUGUCCUCGGUACUGGAUCAUGAUUCAUGCAUGUGAUGCUUGACAUACCACUGAUGAGUACCCUGAGAAUUCCAGACCCAUGAUUUUGCCGUGCGUGUCGUGAGAACUUGACAUUAAGAUUUAGACUCAUACUUACUUUCAAUGUCUGCGAGUUUUGCAAAUUGAAACCCGAUAAAAGCUGUGGUGGCGACACGCGGGAACGCCAAGCCUCCAUAAAUACAGUAAAAACAAUUAUUUCUACCCCCCACCACUACGUGAUAUUUUAACCAAUACGUGUAUGAGUUCAGCUGUAACACCUCACAAUAAUACAUAGCUUACAAAUAUAUUUUUGACAAACUUGCGGGCAACACAGUGACCUCCAAGUAUAAAGACUGACAAUGGCAGCUCCAUGAAAAUACACACAAUAUAAGAAUCCGCUGCCAAUAAGAUGCAGUCCAGCUGCACACCACUGCAAACUUCAACUUCAACAAUGAACAUGGUGUUGGAAGAAAAGAAAGAAACUCUCUGACAAUCUCAAGCCAAACGUAACAUCGUUACCUCUGUGAAGGCAGAAUUCAUGGCAGAGCUGUUUCACAGGAUCACAUUAUGUUGUGCAAUUCUAUCCAAUAAUUAAAAAAAAAAACAAAAAAAAGGCCGAGUGGGUACGCUCGUGCUAAGUUCUGCAUCACGUUCACCAGCUCUUUUCCAACUUGCCUGUUUGCUGUUUGGUGCCGGGCAAGUAGUUUAUAGUCUGUUUAUCAGAGCUUUUCACA